rnacentral:rRNA from 1 species
UACGUAGGGUGCGAGCGUUAAUCGGAAUUACUGGGCGUAAAGCGUGCGCAGGCGGUUCGUUGUGUCGGUGGUGAAAUCCCCGGGCUUAACCUGGGAAUGGCCAUGGAAACUGGCGAACUGGAGUGCGGCAGAGGGGGGUGGAAUUCCGCGUGUAGCAGUGAAAUGCGUAGAGAUGCGGAGGAACCCCGAUGGCGAAGGCAGCCCCCUGGGCUAGCACUGACGCUCAGGCACGAAAGCGUGGGGAGCGAACCGG